UGUUAUAAAUACCGGAUGUGGCUAAGGGUAGGCAUCUAUCUUUAACUAAAUUGGUUUUUCGCUUAGAGAGCGGUUCAUGACACAUCAGCUAGUUGGUGGGGUAACGGCCUACCAAGGCGACGACGUGGUAGGGGGUCUGAGAGGAUGACUCCCCCCGAGUGGGACUGAGACACGGCCCACACACCGUACGGGUGGCAGCAGGUUGGGAAUCUUGCACAAUGGGGGAAACCCUGAUGCAGCGACGCCGCGUGGAGGAUGACGGCCCUAGGGUUGUAAACUGCUUUUGUCAGGGAAUAAACCUGUCUACGUGUAGACAGCUGAAGGUACCUGAAGAAUAAGCAUCGGCUAACUCCGUG
rnacentral:rRNA from 1 species